AUCUCCCUUCGCUCUAUCUUCCGUCUGGAAGACCACCUGCUCCGAAUGCCAUAACUGACUUAUGAACUCCCCGCCUUUUUAUGAAUAAGUAUAAACUUGCUCCACAAAGCUGCACGAUGAAUAGGGAAGAAAGAAACAGAAGACCCCUAGAGGAUUAAAAGGCGAUUGUUAGCCCUGACCCUUCUGAAGUCCCGAAGUUUUCCUUCCGGUUUCAAGCAUGUCUCCUAGUAUCUGCAGCCUGUUGAGCCACAUGCAGGACUGAGGCAAGAGGAA
rnacentral:lncRNA from 1 species